rnacentral:lncRNA from 1 species
AAGUGCCUAGACAAAAACGUGCUCCUUGUCGUGUGCAGUAACCAGCCCAAACCCUCCGGACUCGUGUAACGCCAUUAGUUCGCCGUGUGUUUCGAGCGAUCCACCAGUGUCGUCAGUGAGUGCCCUAGUACAGCGCCCGUCCGAGCUGCCUUUGUUCUGCCGAGCUGCCUGCCCGCGCUCUCGUGAAAAGUCUGGUACUGGGGCUUCGAAUCGUAGUGUUUGAAAUACUUUUGAAGGUUGUGUUUAUGUGGAGCUGGAGUUCAUCGGAAGUUCUACAGUGCUUGCGCCAGAGAAACGUCGGUGCCUCUGUACCUGUUAGACGAAGGAGCGUUUGCGAAGUCUUGAAAGGUAGACGUCGGUGACGGUGUAUACGUUGAAAAGGGCCUGCUGAAGAGGCUGUGCCUGGAUGCUAACAACUUAGGCUUUCACUUCGCGGAGGGCCUCCUUAAAGCUCCUUUUUCAAUAGAAGACGUUGAAGGGAGGUCCUUCCUUGGGCGGCUGUCAAAUGCCUUCCACAGAAGGAUCCGUUGGAUUCCAAGAAGGUCAACAUCAUAGUAGACUACACAACGCAACAUUUCAGCCUACUUCCAGGGCAGCUGGAGAAAUCGUCCUCCUUACUAGCCCGGGGAUAUUAAAUGGAUGUGUUCAAGCACAAAUGGAAACCUGUCUUCUUCUGUUGCAUGCCACACGUAGCCACUUGGCAAUCACUAUUCGCCACAGACAGAUAGUUGACAGGAGGUUACUAGCAAGUCGUUAAGAUAUAUAAAGGUGGUUAAUAAAUAGUCGCCGCACAGUUUUUAGGAAGCAAAUAAAAAUUUUAUUCAGAGAUAA